UACGUAGGCUGCAAGCGUUAUCCGGAAUUAUUGGGCGUAAAGCGUACGCAGGCGGUUUGUUAAGUUGGAUGUUAAAACCCUGAGCUCAACUCAGGUAUGGUAUCCAAUACUAGCAGACUGGAGAUAGGCAGAGGUAAGCGGAAUUCUGUAUGUAGGGGUAAUAUCCGUAGAUAUGCAGAGGAACACCAAAAGCGAAGGCAGCUUACUGGGCCUUUUCUGACGCUCAUGUACGAAAGCGUGGGGAG
rnacentral:rRNA from 1 species